AUAGUAAAAGGCUUGUCGUUGGUAACUAACAGGUAGAGUAUAGCGUUGAAGGAACAACAUAAGUAGAUGCAGGGCUAGAUACAGAACAAUAUCAAUGUCAACUUUCCAUGGCGAUCCAUGCAGUCGCUCUGUGUGCCGUGUGUGUAUUGGGCGAGGGGUACUUACCUAUAUAUAUAUACUCGUGUUUGUACUGCGUGAAGCUGUUAUGUCUUUACAGGUCCAAGCUGGUGAUGUCAUUGGUUAUCACAGUGAUAAAACGUUACCUUACGGUUUGGCAACUCAGGAUGGCCUCGCCGCGAACGAUUGGCGGGUGAUUGGAACCACGAAGUUCAGUGGCUACUUUCUCGCAACAAAAAGGAUUUACAUCGAACGUCAUGCUACAGGCAAGAAGGUAGCCCUGAGGGCGAUUGUAUUUAAAGAUGUUCGAGGGAAAGGCAUGAAAGUUCUCGGUUGCCAACACAACAAUACUUCUUGAAACUUUUCAACCCAACUAUACCACCGCGACCCGACUCAUUCAAUCGGAGACCUGCAGCAGAAAGAUGUAACGCUCGAUGUGUUGUCCUUUCCAUGGUGACGCUCGUCCUCUCCUUCGCAUCAUGAUUGAAGCCCGUGGGGCCUACCGCCCAGACAUGAAGAGUCUACCCGAAUUCCUCUCUGCUCUCUCUGAUACAUAUGCUAUCACGCUGACACAACUAAACAGUCUGCCGAAUGAGAAUGAACGCACUAUUGGCGUCUUAUGUGGGCACCCUGACUUUUGGGCAGGAACUGGCUGUCAGCAAGUUUAUAAAGCAAGGAUGGUCAGCUGCUGUCUGCUUUCUCAAUGAGAGAAACGCUUAAAAAUAAAAUGUAUCUGGGACGGAGGCCGAGGGAUAACGAAAAAACAGCUGAUCUUUGAUUUUGAAUUUUAUAGGUAUACAUUUUGUGACAUGACGUAUAUUACAUGCACAUGAAUAAGAAAACUGUAUACUAUUGAUUCUGAACUUUAUAAGUAUAUAUUUUGUGAUAUGACGUAUGUUACAUGCACAUGAAUAGGAAAACUGUAACUAUUGAUUUUGAACUUUAUAAGUAUAUAUUUUGUGAUAUGACGUAUAUUACAUGCACAUGAAUAGGAAAACUGUAUACUAUUGAUUUUGAACAUUAUUUAUGAUAAAUCAUUACGUAAUACUUGAACGUUAUCAUUAGUAAUUGUAAUUAAAUAUGUACAUACCUUUUUUUCGAACAUUUGAAGAAAACAAUCAUCUGCACUAAUAACUUAGGGUCUUGGCUUUAUUUAGAGUGAUUUCAAAACUUGUACGACUAAUGCGUGAAAAGCAAUAAACUUAAACAUAAAAUCUGAUAUCAAUAUUGAGUCAUCUUUUUUACUCAGUGCAGAUAAGUCGUGUACAGAUAUCAAAUUGUUAUUAUUA